ACGUGAUUUUUUGCAGAAAAGGCUCGUGGGUGUCCUGAGUGCCUAGGAAGCUGCACACCCCUUUUCCUGAAGGCCUGAAGGAAGACAGCUGGCCCAGUGACCCUCAGAAGUGGAUUGCAGAAGUGGGGGUACCUCCCAGGUUCUCCAGGUUUGUCUUCAGAGUGUUGUAGGCGGCCGUUCGGGACUUCAGGUCCAUCUCGAUCUGCGCCAGUUGCUGUUUUGGGAAAGCAAAAGCUCCAGGUGACCCUGAGCAUUGAAGGAGUUGGCUGAACUUUUUGAAAUGGCCACAACAGCUCAUGGUGCUUUCAAGAAAAAUAACUGCCCUGCCCAUUUGCUGGGAUGGCUUCUGUUUACCAGCAUUUGGCCCUUCCAGGGAGCCCCUGUGUGGCACCCAGGCGCCAAGCCAUGAUGGAUUUUCUAGGAUGACUCAGUGAGCCCAACCUUUCCUGAUUUCAAGCCCAUCCUGAACGGUCGGGACAUCCCACGCCCACACCUACCCUCUCAGGCUCUGCUGGAGGGCAGCUCAGGCUGACCCCCAAUCGUUGCUUCCAGGGGUACCCGACAUGGCCUGGCCCUCUCAAAUGCCCAUGUCUCCUGGCUCGGCUGUGCCGAUCUCCCUCUCAUGGGUUGGCAGGGGCAGGGAGGUGCAGUGGACAGAAACAAGACAGGCCUGGGCUCAAGCCACGCCCUCCUGCUUUCUGGCCGACUGGCUCAGGUUUCCCCAUUUGUUCCACAGCGGGGAUAAUGCCAGUGCUGAGAGCCGACUGUGCCAGGCUCCUUCACAUUCCCUCCUCGCAGCCCCACGUCGUGACACCCCACCAGCUUUGACAACCAGCCACGGCAGGAGCAUUUACACCACGGUCAUCCACAAAUGCUACAGGCCAGCACACGGCUGCUGACGGGAGAAUCUCAAGAGUCAACAGAUGAAGAAAAUGGGUGCUCCAUAGAAUGCCAACAGCUUUAGUCUAAAUAUACACAUUUUUAUACAUGGAAGAAUCCAUUGUCAACUUUUAAACAUUGGUUACCUUUUGGGAGAAUAAAGGGAAUGGGGGCGAUGAUCACAGCUCGGAUGAUAUUAUUAUUUUAAAGAUAAAAUCAUAAAAUAAUUUUAAAGAUAAAAUAAAUAUAAUUAAAAUGAUAAAAUGAUUAAAUUAAAUGAUUAUAUUAAAAUGGUAGACUGGGCGAGGUAGCUCACGCCUGUAAUCCCAGCACUUUGGGAGGCCGAGGCGGGCAGAUCACCUGAGGUCAGGAGUUUGAGACCAGCCUGGCCAACAUGGUAAAACCCUGCCUCUACUAAAAAUACAAAAAGUGGCUGGGCUUGGUGGUGGAUGCCUGUAAUCCCAGCUACUCAGGAGGCUGAGGCAGGAGAAUUGCUUGAACCCGGGAGGUGGAAGUUGCAGUGAGCUGAGAUCACACCACUGUACUCCAGCUUGGGUGACAGAGUGAGACUCUGUCUCAAAAAAAUAUAUAAUAAAAUGGGCCAGGCACAUGUCUGAAAUCCUAGCACUUUGAGAGGCAGAGAUGGGCAGAUUGCCUGAGCUCAGGAGUUUGGGACCAGCCUGGGCAACAGGGUGAAACCCUGUCUCUACUCAAAAUACAGAAAAGUUAGCCAGGCAUGGCAGUGUGUGCCUAUAAUCCCAACUACUCGGGAGGCUGAGGCAGGAUAAUUGCUUGAACCAGGGAGGUGGAGGCUGCAGUGAACCAAGAUCACACCACUGCACUCCAGUCUGGGCAACACAGUGAGACUCUGCCUCAAAAAAAAAAAAAAAAAAAGAUAAAAAAUGAUAAUUAAAAAAAUAUUUAAAGAUAAAGUGAUGAUUUUAAAGAUAAAAACUAAAUGUUUUUCUCUUUACAUUUUGCCAUUUUUCUUAAUAAAAUGCAUCUUUUUAUAAU
rnacentral:lncRNA from 1 species